rnacentral:rRNA from 1 species
AAUCAAACCGGGAGAUAGCUGGUUCUCCCCGAAAGCUAUUUAGGUAGCGCCUCGUGAAUUCAUCUCCGGGGGUAGAGCACUGUUUCGGCUAGGGGGCCAUCCCGGCUUACCAACCCGAUGCAAACUGCGAAUACCGGAGAAUGUUAUCACGGGAGACACACGGCGGGUGCUAACGUCCGUCGUGAAGAGGGAAACAACCCAGACCGCCAGCUAAGGUCCCAAAGUCAUGGUUAAGUGGGAAACGAUGUGGGAAGGCCCAGACAGCCAGGAUGUUGGCUUAGAAGCAGCCAUCAUUUAAAGAAAGCGUAAUAGCUCACUGGUCGAGUCGGCCUGCGCGGAAGAUGUAACGGGGCUAAACCAUGCACCGAAGCUGCGGCAGCGACGCUGAUGCGUUGUUGGGUAGGGGAGCGUUCUGUAAGCCUGCG